GGGGAUGUAGCUCAGUUGGUUAGAGCGCCGGCCUGUCACGCCGGAGGUCGCGAGUUCGAGUCUCGUCAUCCCCGCCA
rnacentral:tRNA from 3 species